rnacentral:rRNA from 1 species
UACGGGGGGAGCAAGCGUUGUUCGGAUUUACUGGGCGUAAAGGGCGCGUAGGCGGUAGCACAAGUCAGUUGUGAAAUCUCCGGGCUUAACUCGGAAAGGUCAACUGAUACUGUGCGACUAGAGUGCAGAAGGGGCAACUGGAAUUCUCGGUGUAGCGGUGAAAUGCGUAGAUAUCGAGAGGAACACCUGCGGCGAAGGCGGCUCUCUGGGACGGUACUGACGCUGAGACGCGAAAGCUAGGGGAGCGAACAGG